UACGUAGGGCGCAAGCGUUGUCCGGAAUUAUUGGGCGUAAAGAGCUCGUAGGCGGCUUGUCACGUCGGAUGUGAAAGCCCGAGGCUUAACCUCGGGUCUGCAUUCGAUACGGGCUAGCUAGAGUGUGGUAGGGGAGAUCGGAAUUCCUGGUGUAGCGGUGAAAUGCGCAGAUAUCAGGAGGAACACCGGUGGCGAAGGCGGAUCUCUGGGCCAUUACUGACGCUGAAACGCGAAAGCGUGGGGAGCGAACAGG
rnacentral:rRNA from 1 species